CCUAUCUUCUCGGCUGCGCAUAUCUUCUUCUCUACACUGUCUACUGUUUUUGGAAACUACACCAUCCACACAUCGCCAUUAUUUCUUAAGCUAUCGCCUCUAGCUCGAUGUCAUUUUCUAGCCAUCUCCAUGUUCAAACAUCACCUUUACAAAAUUAUGUAGUCCAAUCGGAACUACUAAAUGUUGCCUAGCAAAACAGCAGUUCAUAGAAAUAUGUAGUCCAAAAACACCCUACUUCUUGUUCAAACAUCACCUAACUUCUUGUUCACGAUCUAUGUUCUCCUACUCGUUCUACACUUCACAAUACUACCUUCGUAGACCUAAUCAGUUGAAAAAAUCAUGCCAGAUUACACAAACCCAAAACCCUUAUCUACUAUCCUUCGGUUUCUCCUCUACCAAACACCAAAGGCCAAAUCGAUCUGAAACAAAGCAAGAAACAGCAGCGAUCUACCUUCAAACUACGAUAUCUGUAAGGUGUACAGGAAAGUGUUGCAUUUACAAUCUCUCAAUACACUGACAAAAAAAGAAGAGACAUAGGGAACCAAAUUGGUGCAGAUAUAGUAGACAAAUGGAAAGCAAAGAAGAUGAGUAUUGCAAACCAAAAAAUGACAACAUAGCUCCGCACACAAUGCAAUCUAAUGGCCUUAGAAGUCUGUUGCGGGUGAAGCUGGGCACCAACUAUGAACUGCCCAGUCAUGUUGGUUUUUGAAAGCUGAAAGUUGUAAUAUUUUGCUUCGUUUUGUGAUAGCACAGAUGAAAGAAUCUUGUAAUAUUUUGCUUUGCUUUGCUUUGAGGCCUAAAUGUGUAGCUAUAUAUAACCAGUAAACUUAGAGUCGGACAAUUGCAAAAAUAUUAAAAAUAUUACCUA